GACGAACGCUGGCGGCGUGCCUAACACAUGCAAGUCGAACGGAACUGUUUUGAAAGAUUUCUUCGGAAUGAAUUUGAUUUAGUUUAGUGGCGGACGGGUGAGUAACGCGUGAGUAACCUGCCUUCAAGAGGGGGAUAACAUUCUGAAAAGGAUGCUAAUACCGCAUGACAUAUCGGAACCACAUGGUUCUGAUAUCAAAGAUUUUAUCGCUUGAAGAUGGACUCGCGUCCGAUUAGUUAGUUGGUGAGGUAACGGCUCACCAAGACCGCGAUCGGUAGCCGGACUGAGAGGUUGAACGGCCACAUUGGGACUGAGACACGGCCCAGACUCCUACGGGAGGCAGCAGUGGGGGAUAUUGCGCAAUGGGGGCAACCCUGACGCAGCAACGCCGCGUGAAGGAUGAAGGUUUUCGGAUUGUAAACUUCUUUUAUUAAGGACGAAAAAUGACGGUACUUAAUGAAUAAGCUCCGGCUAACUACGUGCCAGCAGCCGCGGUAAUACGUAGGGAGCAAGCGUUGUCCGGAUUUACUGGGUGUAAAGGGGUGCGUAGGCGGCUUUGCAAGUCAGAUGUGAAAUCUAUGGGCUCAACCCAUAAACUGCAUUUGAAACUGUAGAGCUUGAGUGAAGUAGAGGCAGGCGGAAUUCCCCGUGUAGCGGUGAAAUGCGUAGAGAUGGGGAGGAACACCAGUGGCGAAGGCGGCCUGCUGGGCUUUAACUGACGCUGAGGCACGAAAGCGUGGGUAGCAAA
rnacentral:rRNA from 1 species